rnacentral:rRNA from 1 species
GCUUACGGCCAUACCACCCUGAGCACGCCCGAUCUCGUCUGAUCUCAGAAGCUAAGCAGAGUCGGGCCUGGUUAGUACUUGGAUGGCAGACUGCCUAGGAAUACCAGGUGCUGUACGCU